AUUGAACGCUGGCGGCAGGCCUAACACAUGCAAGUCGAGCGGUAACACAGAGGAGCUUGCUCCUUGGGUGACGAGCGGCGGACGGGUGAGUAACGCCUGGGGAUCUGCCCGAUAGAGGGGGAUAACUACGGGAAACUGUAGCUAAUACCGCAUAAUGUCUACGGACCAAAGUGGGGGCUCUUCGGACCUCAUGCUAUCGGAUGAACCCAGGUGGGAUUAGCUAGUUGGUGAGGUAAUGGCUCACCAAGGCGACGAUCUCUAACUGGUUUGAGAGAAUGACCAGUCACACUGGAACUGAGACACGGUCCAGACUCCUACGGGAGGCAGCAGUGGGGAAUAUUGCACAAUGGGCGCAAGCCUGAUGCAGCCAUGCCGCGUGUGUGAAGAAGGCCUUCGGGUUGUAAAGCACUUUCAGCGGGGAGGAAGGGCUACUAGUUAAUACCUAGUGGCAUUGACGUUACUCGCAGAAGAAGCACCGGCUAACUCCGUGCCAGCAGCCGCGGUAAUACGGAGGGUGCAAGCGUUAAUCGGAAUUACUGGGCGUAAAGCGCACGCAGGCGGUUUGUUAAGUCAGAUGUGAAAUCCCCGAGCUCAACUUGGGAACUGCAUUUGAAACUGGCAAGCUAGAGUCUUGUAGAGGGGGGUAGAAUUCC
rnacentral:rRNA from 1 species